UGAGGAGACAGUUAUAUCAAGCUCCUGUCAGCAUGUACCUCUUGGCAUCCCCAAUAGUGACUGGGUUUGGUGACUGCAUGUGGGAUGGAUCCUCACGUGUGGCAGUCUCUGGAUGGCCUUUCCUUCAGUCUCUGCUCUAUACUUUGUCUUCUUUUAUCCUCCUAUGAGUAUUUUGUUCCCCUCUUCUAAGAAGAACUGAAGCAUCCACACGUUGGUCUUUCUUCUUCUUGAACUUCAUGUGGUCUGUAAACUGUAUCUUGGGUAUUCUGAGCUUUGGGGCCAAUAUCUACUUAUCAGUGAGUGCAUAUCAUGUGUGUUCUUUUGUGAUUGGGUGACCUCACUCAGGGUGAUAUUUAGAAGAGAAAGUGGGGAAGCGCUUAGAACACAUGGGCACUGGGGAAAAUUUCCUGAACAGAAAACCAGUGGCUUAUGCUUUAAGAUUAACAGUAGAUGGGGGUUGGGGAUUUAGCUCAGUGGUAGAGUGCUUGCCUAGCAAGCGCAAGGCCCUGGGUUCGGUCCCCAGCUCUGAAAA
rnacentral:lncRNA from 1 species